GCCUGAGAGGGCGACCGGCCACACUGGGACUGAGACACGGCCCAGACUCCUACGGGAGGCAGCAGUAGGGAAUAUUGGGCAAUGGGCGAAAGCCUGACCCAGCGACGCCGCGUGAGGGAUGAAGGUCUUCGGAUUGUAAACCUCUUUCAGUAGGGAAGAAGCGAAAGUGACGGUACCUAAAGAAGAAGCACCGGCUAACUAUGUGCCAGCAGCCGCGGUAAUACAUAGGGUGCAAGCGUUGUCCGGAAUUAUUGGGCGUAAAGAGCUCGUAGGUCGUUUGUCGCGUCGAUUGUGAAAAUCUGAGGCUCAACCUCAGACCUGCAGUCGAUACGGGCAAACUAGAGUGUGGUAGGGGAGACUGGAAUUCCU
rnacentral:rRNA from 1 species